UGAUAGUAGAUGAGAUUGAGGUCGAGGUUUAUUUUCCUUCAAAGAUGAAAGAGGGAACUGCGACAAAAGGCGGUAAAACCUCACGAGGUCACAGUUCCCCAAUACAGUCGAUACAGAAGUGAGCAACACAGAAAUAAACAUUAACAUAAUAUGAUAGUGAACAAAAUACAUUGCAUCAAGCGACAGUAUUACCAUGAGAAAUAUUACUUUUGAUACAAAGACAGUGCACCAUAAAUCAAAAGCAGUGUAUAAACAUGCCAUUAGGUCGCUAAAGAAAACACACACCCAAACAACUUGACACGAAAACAAGAGAUGCUUCGCUAAGUAAAAAACAGACUAUAUUGAGUCAGUGCUGAUUAGUAACUUUUUGAUGUCUUUUUCAAGUUUGUUCUUAGGGAGAUUAAACAUGACACUUAAAGAUGAGUUAUUGAGAACGAUUGGAAUCUGGUAAUCGAGCUUUUGUUUGCCGUAAUUUGUCCUCGCUUUAGGGACCAAGUUUCUGUGUUGCCGAAGGGGGUAUUUAGUAGGAGGGCGGUUUGGAGCAAUGGAAUGCAAACCAUUACGAUGGAUGUACUGGAACAGGCGAAAUAUGUAAAGAAGGUUUGCUUUAAGUAAAUUAUUCUCAUCAUAGAGUGGUAAUGUUGGUAGGUUUUCCGGCCUGCCAUGGUAACCCUCAAUAGCCCGCAAUGCCUUCUUUUGCAAAAGCAAUAACUUCUGAAAAUCACUUAUUGUUGUAGUGCCCCAGACUAGUGCACAAUAGCACAAUUUGGAAAAAAAAUACUGCGUAGCAUAUGGAAAGUUUUAGGGAAACGGGCAAGAGAUCGAUGGUCCGGUAAAGACAACGAACAGUUUUACUAAGGUCCGUAAGAAGUUUUGAAAUAUCCGUGUUCCAUGACAAAUGUUCAUUAAACCAGACACCAAGAAACUUCUGAGUUGUUACCUGUUGCAGUUUUGUGUUGGCCUAUGUUAGGUUAAGUGUGUAAUAAAGAGAGGCAUUAAUAGGUCUGAAAAUUAUGUACCUGGUUUUUGACAAGGUUAAACUAAACUUAUUCGCCUGCGUCCAAGCUUAUAAUUUUACCAAAUAAGCGUUCACGAUAGUUCCUAAUUCCGGCAGAGUACGUGAUAUGAAAAAAAAUAUUUGUUUCGUCAGCGUACAUAACCAAAUCUGGAGAAUCAGGUAUGUUACAGAUGUCGUUUAUAUACACUAAAAACAAAAGUGGACCUAAUAUAGAUCCCUGCGGAGGAACCCCUUUGGUAAUGCGCAAACGGUUCGAAACAAAAUUAUUCCAUCUAACGUAUUGUAUUAUGUUAUUUAUAUAACAUUUCAGCAGGUUUAGAGAUAUUCCGCGUAUCCCGUAACUGCUCAGUUUACUCAAAAGAAUUUCAUGCUGUACGCAAUCAAGAGCUUUCCGGAGGUCUAAGAACAGACCGAGAGUGUAUGCUCUGGAUCCAAUGUUGUCAAAGAUCUUUUCUUCAACGGCGAGUAGAAAUUGCUCAGACGAUUUAUUUUUCAGAACGCAUACUGAGAGGGGUUAACAAUGUUAUGAGCGCUAAAGAACUUUUCUAAUCUACAAUUAAUGGCUCCUUCGAAUACCUUCGAUAACACCGAUAACACGGAGAUGGGACCAUAGUUCGUGAUUUCAUUUCUAUUUCCUCCUUUAUAUAUAGGACAAACACGAGCAAUCUUCAGUUCACCUGCGAACGUACCACUUGUGAACAUCAGAUUUAUACUUAAAUAUAGAACAGAAUCCUUCAAAAAUUCGUUCCUGGUUCGAAGCAUAGACGAUUGGAACAACUUGCCACAUGAUAUAGUAGAAUGUACUGAUUUACAAUCCUUUGUAAAGGCUGUUACCAAUUAUUUGUAAACGGUUGAGAAUACGUUUUAUUGUUAGCUGUUUGUCGGUUGCAGUUGUUCGGGCGCGUUACUUUCUUGUUGACCCAUAUAGUGCUAUAACUUACUCAUUGUAACUCAUGUUGUUUGUUGCUUCAUAUUUGUUUAUAUGCUGUGCCUUCCUAGCCUGAUUGCUUUGUAUUGAAUUGUUUAAACAUCUACUAUGUCUAGUUCGAUGACAGCAAUGUAACCGCAACUCCUGUCUUGGCUUGUGCUGACAGUAUGAAUAAAUAAAGAAAUAAAAUAAUAUACGCUAGAACUUAGCAUACUAACGCAGACACAUCAAUGGUAUCGCUUUGAUGUCGUUAUGGCCUACUGAGACAUUGUUUUUUAUUUUUCCUGAGUAGGUAGCUACUUCUUGUGGGAUCACAGGCAGCAACGAAAUAGAGCCAGGUAUAGUGAUAAUAAGGUUGCAUACGGGAGCAUUAGAGAGAGCUUGAUCUAAUGUAGGCUUGUCAGCUUCAAUGAAGUGGAUAUGGUGUUAGCUAAUUGAGUUCCGCUAGCUUGGGAAUUAGAUGCAGCAAUUUCUGAGUGGUCCCUGCACUUGUGUUCGUUUAAUAGUUCGUUUAUCUCACUCCAAACUUUCUUGCGGUCAUUAUAAAUUCUGGAGAACAGUUUUGUAUAGUAAGCUGAUUUUGCAAACUUGAGGUCUUUAUUUAGUUUAUUCCUAAAUUUUUUGAACUCUCUAAAAAUGGCUGCAUCGCGAGUACGUACAAAGUCAUGAUACAUUUUAUUUUUAAUACGUAUCCUGUUAUAUAAUACUUUAUCAACCCACGGCUUUCUAAAUUUGCGGAAGCUGUGUUUUACCUCGAUUGCAGGAAACGCAGCAUUAUAACAUUCCAUGAACUUGGCAGGAAAAGCAGUAUACGCACGUUGACUUCAGAUAUGCUGGAUACGUUCUCCCAGCACAUAUUCUGAAUAAGAGUAAUAAAUGUGGCGACAUUUUCAUCGUAUUUCACUCUAGCUAUCCUGGAGGCAUUUUCGGGUACUGACCUAAUGCGUUUCAGAGGAAGAAAACAAAAAAAUCUGGAUGUGGUCACUGAUUUCAGAAAAUAACAGGCCAGACUCCGUUUCUGGAGACACCAUAUUUGUGACACAAACAUCCAGCAGGGAAGCUGUAGCAACGCUAAUUCUAGUAGGCAUGUUUAUAGUAUUUAAACAACCAUAAGAUGCUAUAAGGCUAUUAAAUUCGUGCGUACUGUGAUCAUCGUGCAUGAGGUUAAUGUUAAUAUCACUCGUUAUUACAAAAGGCAACCGGAAAUUGGCGAGAUUCAAGAGUAAGCUUUCGGGAAACCUGAAAAAAGGUAGUUUGUUCCCUGCGGGAGGUCUGUAUACAACAGCUACAAUGACACUGGACAGUGAUACGGCUAAACACUCAACAUUGGAAUUUGUUACAGAAAUUUCGUCUAACACACACUGUGGAUAACAACUCUUUACAUACACGGCAAUACCACCACCUCUCAUAUUCGAACAAAGGAGGCCAUGAUACUGGUAAUUUUUGAAUGGAAGGUGAUCAUCAUGUGUGUAAGCCAUGUCUCGGUAAACAAAAGCACAUCAAACGGUCGGUUUAUUGACCCAAGAAACAUAUCUAGACCGUCGCGUUUGUUCUUACUGCGGUCGUUAAUAUGCAUAGCAGAGAACAUUUCUGUGAGAGGAGUAAACUUAACGUUAAAGCAAGAAGCAUCACAAUGAAUACAGUGGCGCGGGCAAUCCAUGACAACGACUGGCUAGUCACCAGCUGACAAAGAUGUGGAUGCCUGCUCGGUCAUUUAACUCAAGUCGGAUCGUGCACAAAUUUUUAUUGUGUCAGAUGUUUCAUCCCUGCGUGCAAAAAUUUUGCCUCCGUUCGUCCAAACAAAUUUCCAACCUACUUCUUUCUUGCGGGAAAUGGUUGCCCCCAGCAGUUGUUUGUUACCGUAAGUCAAGUGUUCGUUUACAUAGAUGCGUCCGCUAUCAGUGAGACCAAGGCCCUUGUUAGAUAGCGCGUGCUUUCUAGCCUUAGAAAGAAAUGCAUGGCGCUUAUCUGGUAGUUUGAUUGGUAGUAUUAGAAAGAAGAUACUUCUGACUGGGAUUCGGACCAUGGAAAGCAGCGUGGCAGGCAGAUGGCUAGGACGUCUCCGGGCUUCUGGUGACGUGGCCACUCGAGCCAUGUGGUCGCAAUGCUUGCUUCCGCAUUCAUCCACGUAAAGGAAACUAAGUGCGGCUCGAAUUUUUUCUUAUACAAGAAAGAAAAGCACGAGCCAAAGGUCAUGUGACCUGACAGAGGCUCUUGCUCCUCUUGACCAUCUGCAUUUUACCUUUAAUGAAACAGCUACAAAUGCAACGCUGUGGGUUACCAGGAAAAAAAAAAGCUGUUUAGGACAACUAGAGGAGACCUGACCACCACAACAGUGAGCAGCAUACGUAGGAAGAGUGCAAUGCAAUACGACAACACACAGCAGUGCAAUGUAACAACAACAUUUCACCAUGCAGAUUCUAGAAACUAGAUAUGUCAUUAAAACUAGCGCAGAAAAAGAAAACAGAAAGAAAACUGUCUUGGAAUCAGAGGUGAGCUCCUAACACAGCCAUAAAGCAGUAUAAUGUUAUAGAAUACUUUAAAACGUUCAACGCAAACAAAACAGAUUGUAUUGGCUAACAGGAAUUCACUGCCAGUUGGCUCCUAUUUAUACAUAUGCUUCUCAGUUGGCUUAAUGGAGUAUAUGGUCUCCUCGCUGCGCUCACGGCCCGCACGCUCUGAUAUCGCGCGCGUCGGACCACCACCUUAGGGUUCGAGCACUCCGAGCCGCUACGCAUACACAGGGCGCCUGCUCGUGGGUCGACGCGCCCCGCCGGCCCCAGCUAGGGCGGAGCAAGGGAGACCCUAGGCGAAGCACGCGGGAAAGAAGGAAUAACAUUUAAUAAGCUGGCAUUUGAUACACACACCAGUUUUUUUCAGCAAGCCCGAAUCUAAAUCUAACUGCGACACAAUACGUGGCCAAAUGGACCGCGACAGAGAGAACAAAGAACCCAGCAGUAAGAGGCUGCCUAUCCUUCGGUCAGCGCCUGCCAUUGGGCACCCUACAGCAUGGAAAAUCGAGAGAAACGACAGACGACCAGACGGGGGCACGAUCGGAAGACGCUGCCCCCGGACAUCGAUACGACGGAAGAGCGCCUGCCGAGGCCGGGACUCCGCCGAAAUAAGCAUCGGCCGGCGGCGGACGGCAGCGAGGAACCUUCGGACGGCCCCGUCUGGCGCCCGCGUGCCCGGAGCGAGGGCCCGAAUGGCGCCAAAAUGUCGGCCGUUGUCGGUUGAUCUUCCCGUGGACGGGAUGACAUCAGAACGACAGUGUUUUAUGGCAAGGAGGAGAGGGACACGGAGCCCCCGGAAACGCAAUGCAACGGCUCCACACAACCACCGCGAGAGCCCGAAACUCCAGAAGUAUUAGUUAAUUUGAGGGAGGGCAUUGUAUGGCUUUAUGUCGACUGGCAUCGGAAAAAAGUGGCGACCCAGUAAGCCCGUGAUUCUAGACAAUUUACCGUCAAUCUACUUAUAACAUAGUCAUACCAAGUCACGUGUUCGUCAAAGAAAAGUUUUCAGCGUAUUUGCAGAUAGCACUAGAACUUUCUCACUGUGAUUUAGCUUAAUAGGAGGGAGCUUAACAGAUUCGUUGCGUGGACUGAUAAGGAUUUCUUUGGUUUCAUUAACGUUAAUUUUUUGGUAAUUGCGAGUUGCCCAGUCACUUCUUGUAUUUAGUGAAUUCCUUCGUGAAUUCAGUGAAUACUAAGUCAGCAUCUCAUUUGCCGCAAAUAAAGAAACUCGUGUUGUCCACGUAUAUUAUGUAUUUAGCAGCCCUAUCUGUAUUAGUUAUUUCAUUUAUGUAAAGUGCAAAAAGCGUCCCAACAUAGUACCCAGAGAAACGCUCGACGUUAUACUUGCUUUUUUGUCUAAACCUUCACCUGCAAUGUUUACAAAUUGGGACCUAUUUUUCAGACAAGAAUAAAUGAACAAAUUUUGCGACUCCACUAAUACCAUAUUAUUCGAAUUUUUUUAAAUAUGAAACGCGACGAUCAAUAAGGUCGGAUGCAUACCUGAAAUUCCAAACAACUCAAGUACCAUGUUCUCGGAUUCAAAAGUUACCAGUAUAAACUCCUUUUGUUGUAGAAGAGCGAGCUCACGAAGAUCAUCUUGUACCGGGCUCAUGAAGUGGUCAACAAAAUUUGUAAGACGUUUUAGAAUAGCCUUGGCUAAACCUUUAUAGAAAAGAGGCAAAAUCGAUUCUGGCCUGUAGUUGUAGCUAUGCCAUGUUUAUUUCCUUUUUGAUAUAUUACUGUCGCUUUUGCAAUCACCAUGUUACGUGGGAAAGUUCCUGUAAGCAAAGUUAAGUUGAAUAUGCGCCUGAGAGGAAGUGCUGGAAUGUCAAUGGCGUGUUUCAGAGGUUUUAUUUGAUAUCCUGGUGCAUCAUUUAUCGAUUAACUCCAGAAAAGGUAAGCCAUCACUUCGCUUUGGGCAAUAGAUUCGAGAAAAACGGUGUGAUCAGCACAAGAGUUGACGUAUCAAGUCUGCAUCAAUGUUUGGAUCUGGACUAAAAGAAAGAAGCGCAGAUGAGUGUCCUAAGAGAUGUUAUCCUUGAAACCACGCCCUCUAGAAUUUUUGUGUUUUUACUUGUUCUACUCAAUUUCUUUUACACGAAACACUUAUAUUACUAAGUAAUUGCUUGUUUGCCAGUUUUGA